AAAAAGGAAAGAUGAAAACAUUAUGGUCUUUGUCAAGAUUCCUGUCUCCUUUUCAAGUUGGCAUUCCAUGAAUUCCUCGUUCCUUUUGGUAUUUCGGGAAUGAAUGUUCUCACUCAAGGAAAGUACUGGAGAGAAGCAGGUGCCAAGAACCCCUUCAUACCCAGCAAGAUGGUGCUGGCCUGAAUAGUGUUUCGGUUAUUUAGAGCAUUGCAUACUGCCCAUAAAUUUGUAUCAGACUGGACUUGAUGAUUGUUUCUAUCUUGCCAAAAUGGAAGGGUGGCCCCAAGUAUGAUUAUACAAUAUACUAAGGUCACAAUCAAGUGUUUGAUUGGUCAUGAGAAGUAUUUCGAGAUGGCUUUUUGUCUAGUAAUCAACAGCAAGUAAUGAAUCAAGGAUCUCUCACCAGAGUUGCGGCUACGUACAAGGAAUGAGGUUGGCCUAAAGAUUAAUUAGAAAGGAGUACCAGAAGGAAUAGUCACUUUUGGGCAUGAAAAUGGGCGAACCUGGUCUAAGAGCGGGACUUGAGGAUUGAGAAUAUGUUAUAAUUGCGCGCUG